rnacentral:tRNA from 1 species
GGGGUCGUCGAUUAGCCUGGUUUAAGUCCCCUGCCUGUCACGCAGGUGAUCGUGGGUUCAAAUCCCAUCGACCCCGCCA